UAAGGAAUAUUGGACAAUGGAGGCAACUCUGAUCCAGCCAUGCCGCGUGAAGGAAUAAGGCCCUAUGGGUUGUAAACUUCUUUUAGACGGGACAAAACCCCUUUACGUGUAAAGGGUUGAUGGUACUGUCAGAAUAAGCAUCGGCUAACUUCGUGCCAGCAGCCGCGGUAAUACGAAGGAUGCAAGCGUUAUCCGGAAUUAUUGGGUUUAAAGGGUGCGUAGGCGGACUAAUAAGUCAGUGGUGAAAGCCUGCAGCUUAACUGCAGAAUUGCCAUUGAUACUGUUAGUCUUGAGUACAGUUGAGGUAGGCGGAAUGUGUCAUGUAGCGGUGAAAUGCUUAGAUAUGACACAGAACACGGAUUGCGAAGGCAGCUUGCUAAGCUGUAACUGACGCUGAGGCACGAAAGCGUGGGGAGCAAAC
rnacentral:rRNA from 1 species